rnacentral:rRNA from 1 species
AGUAAUGCGUGACCAACCUCGCCCCAUGCUCCAGAAUAGCUCUUGGAAACGGGUGGUAAUGCUGGAUGCUCCAACUUGACGCAUGUCUUGUUGGGAAAGUGUUUAGUGGCAUGGGAUGGGGUCGCGUCCUAUCAGCUUGUAGGCGGGGUAAUGGCCCACCUAGGCUUCGACGGGUAGCCGGCCUGAGAGGGCGGACGGCCACAUUGGGACUGAGAUACGGCCCAGACUCCUACGGGAGGCAGCAGAAA